UGAGGAAUAUUGGGCAAUGCCCGCAAGGGUGACCCAGCAACGCCGCGUGGAGGAUGAAUGUCGUAAGAUUGUAAACUCCUGUUAGAGGGGAAGAAUAGUACCGGUUGGACCGGUAUAUGACUGUACCCUCAGAGAAAGCCCCGGCUAACUACGUGCCAGCAGCCGCGGUAAUACGUAGGGGGCAAGCGUUGUCCGGAUUUACUGGGUGUAAAGGGCGCGCAGGCGGGAUAAAAAGUCAGUGGUGAAAUCCUACAGCUUAACUGUAGAACUGCCUUUGAUACUUUUAUGCUUGAGUUCGGGAGAGAGAGACGGAAUUCCAGGUGUAGUGGUGAAAUACGUAGAUAUCUGGAAGAACACCAGUUGCGAAGGCGGUCUCUUGGUCUGACACUGACGCUGAGGCGCGAAAGCGUGGGGAGCAAACA
rnacentral:rRNA from 1 species